UAAAAUCGAGUGAAGAGAAUCGAGGGUUAUUUGAAGGGGUAAAUAAUGGAGAAUAACGAUAAAGAUGGAGGGCGAGGUACCGCCAUGUUUAAAACCCCUGCGUCAAGUGGAGGGACUAAUCGAGCAAGAUGGCGAUGACCUGUAGGUCACGUUAUCUUUUUGAAUAUUUAUUUUCUAUUGACCAUCAAACCUCGUUAGAUAAAUUUGAAUUGGUCCGUAUUCCAAUGAUUUUUUUCAUUUCCACACUUCGCGAUGUUGAAAAAUACCAAUUAAGACUAAAUUGUUAUAUUCACUGAAAUGUGCUAUUGUUUUCGAAUAAUUCAGUCACAGUUGAUGCAUUUGACUGUAUUUUAGCGAGUAUUUAUAUAAUAACCCGAUCUAAUUCCAUCAGGUCAAUAUUCUUCAAUUUUCAACCCGUCGAGAAAAAAAAAAAUCUAAAAAAGCAAGAGUUUGUUAUUCCAUGCCAGCGUGGCUCCUAAGCCAACGAUAAAGAAAAACAGAAACUACGGAAUGAAAGAUAACAAAUUGUAUGUGUACCACCUUGCGCCGAGGCAUAUCGAAACAAAUUUCAAAAGAAAAACUGUGAAAACAACUGGGAGUGGGAUGAUCACCCGGUUGAUUACGUGAUAGAAUGUGCCCCGUGUAAAUACAAAAAGCGUCUGACACCAAAGUACCUGCUCUUGUGGAAAUGGAUUUAUACUUUAUGGCUCUUUGCUGGUUUUCAUUGGGCAUGAAAUGACACUAAGUUUGCCAUCAUCGGACUUACAUAGCUCAAUAACAACAUGUUUCAAGAUCGAGUGUAAAAUAAACGCGGAAGCCUUGGUGAUUGAACAGGGAAAUACCUCCAUGGACACUGAAUUGAGAAGUGCGCCAAAGCCAGUUGUUACAAGUCUCCGGCAAUUUGCCCGCCAGCUACGAGAUAUCUCGAUUAAGAUCUCUCUGACAUGCGAGUCACGAUACGUCAUAAUCAAAUGCAUGGAAAUUUGCAGUGUAGUAUGGGUUUACUGUAUUUAUUCACCCUAAAUUUACAUGGCCCAUGGGGCCCAUAAGUUUUUUCGUUGGGGUCACGUCACUUUAUGAAUGAUUCAUUGAAAAAAAAAGGAGAAUUCACCAAUUUUUGGUUUCCCCUCUUCUUUUGCGGUAUGACAAAAUACACUUUACCGUGAGAAAUCGUAUUUUUGUCAUUUAAAACUCAUAUCUAGUCACACACUCCUUUUUGCAGCAUUACAACAAGAUUUACGAUUCAUAAACCAUUAUGUUCUAUAUUUGCAAUGAUUUUUUGCUUCACUUCCUGGUAGAUAAAAAAAUUUAAUGGAAUUCUGAUAAGACUGUCAUCGUUAAAUGUUUGUUCAUCGGAUCGUUAAUUGAAUUAUAGUCCGUCUAUCCAAUUAGGAGUUGGGGAAAGAUUGGUGGAUAAUACUGGAGUGGAAUAAUUCAAGAAAAAAUUACUCCAUGAAUGAUUCAUCCCCGAGAAAAAUUGAAAACGGUACUUCUUUCAAGUUACUAGAGAUGAUUCUUGAAUGAUAUUUCGCUGGUAAAUGCAGGCAAAUUUUAUUUCAUGAAUGAUUUAUUUAGUCUCCUUUUUCUUCUUUUAGGGCACGGCAAAUCAGUUGCGAAGUGGUAAACUGAGAUAAGUGGAUUUAUCUCUGAGUCGUGUUUUUGAGCGAUACCUGCAAAUCUACCAGACAUAGGGAAAUUUUUGCAAUUAUAUUUAUUGCAUCACUCGAUUACCUGUAUGACAAAAAUAGUAAUAAAUAUUCUGCUAUCUUCCUUACAUUCAGAGAUCUUCAUUGGAAAAUAAUUGAUAAUUGAGGUUGAUUUUCCUCGAUUUACCACUCCGCUACUGUAUUCAGGCACACGAUAGAACUUCUUAUCGAUGGAAGAACCUGCUCAAUGUAUGAUGCAUUUUUAUGUGUGAAUCUCUUUGUAUUUUAUUCGCUGAUAGCUGAAAAUUGUUUAGUUUGGUGAGAAUAAUUGUCCUCAUCCAAACUGUUGGAAAGUCUAGAAAGGAAUUAAAUAAACAAACAUAACACCAAGUCACUUCACUAUAGAAUUGAAUAUAUUUUUUCACUUUAUAUAUGUUU